rnacentral:rRNA from 1 species
UACGUAGGGGGCAAGCGUUGUCCGGAAUUAUUGGGCGUAAAGCGCGCGCAGGCGGUCAUUUAAGUCUGGUGUUUAAUCCCGGGGCUCAACCCCGGAUCGCACUGGAAACUGGGUGACUUGAGUGCAGAAGAGGAGAGUGGAAUUCCACGUGUAGCGGUGAAAUGCGUAGAUAUCUGGAGGAACACCGGUGGCGAAGGCGGCAUCCUGGACCGGCAUUGACGCUGAGGCGCGAAAGCUAGGGGAGCAAACGGG